UCCCCCGUGAGGGGGCAGUCUCGCCUGACUUGUAAAACAGGCAACGCGGGUUACAUUCGUUACCCCACUGAAGGGAACAACUCAAGCCACGAAUUGACGACGACCAUGCAUCACCUGCCCAGCCGUCUUGCGAAGGCCUAGUUUCCUAGGAUGUCGUCUGGGUUUCAAACCCUGGUGAGGUUUUUCGUUUAUCAUCGAAUUAAGCCGCAUGAUCCACCGCUUGUGCAAGUCCCCGUCUAUUCCUUUGAGUUUUAAUCUUGCGAUCGUACUACCCAGGCGCACAACUUAACGCGUUAGCUUCGCCACAAAGAGGGUCGAUACUCCUUAUAGCCAGUUGUGAUCGUUUAGGGCGUGGACUAC
rnacentral:misc_RNA from 1 species